rnacentral:rRNA from 1 species
UACGGAGGGGGCAAGCGUUAUUCGGAAUUAUUGGGCGUAAAGGGCGCGUAGGCGGCUAGAUGUGUCAAAGGUGAAAUCCCUCGGCUCAACUGAGGAACUGCCUUUGAAACUGUCUGGCUUGAGGCCGGGAGAGGGUAGCGGAAUUCCCAGUGUAGCGGUGAAAUGCGUAGAUAUUGGGAGGAACACCAGUGGCGAAGGCGGCUACCUGGACCGGUUCUGACGCUGAUGCGCGAAAGCGUGGGUAGCAAACAGG